AUAUAUAUAUAUAUAUAUAUAUAUAUUUUUUAAGACUUAACACAGAUGUUGUUUAAACAAAUUUAUAUUUCACCCAACUUAACUUGAGCGCUUUACUGCCAAAUAUCCAAUUUCAUAUAGAGAAAAAAUAAUUAAUAAAAAUUACCAUUGCCACCGUGGCAAAUUGUGUGGCACUGAAAUAUUCAGGGCAAGUGUAAUGUGACACACAGAGAGAAAACAAUAAAUGUACACAUUUCAAUAUUUUCAUACUCUUUUAGUACUGACUGUCAAAUUAAAUUUAAAAUGCCUAAUAAAUAUAAUAACUAAUAAAAUAAACAAAUUUUAAAAUAUCUUCAACAUAUGGUGAAAAAAAACACCCAUUAAAUUUACAAAUAAACAGAGGUAGCAAACAAGUAACCUUUGACAUUAUGUCCUUGAGGUAACCCUCACCCUAAAAAAACAAACAAACAUCUGAUUUAAGCAAUAUUAAACCAUUUAACUGUAGCAAUAUUUAUAACAACUCUAAACAUGAACACAUUGUGUUUCUUGUAUUAAGCUCAGAAAAAUAAUAAAAUAAAUUUAAAAAAAUAUAUAUGAAUGAAUGUCACGUGACCGUAGGCUACAUAUAUGCGAUGGCCGUUGUAAUUUGUAUCAGAUGACCGUUGUGAUUUCCUCAGCCUACUGUACCCUCAACAUUUUUUGAUUAUUUUCCCCACAUUAAUAAUCUGUAAAUAGAACCAGUUGUAUAUAUUAAGUUCCUGUUCAUUCAUUACAUGUCUUUCUACUACUGUUGUUUUAAAAGUUAAUUAGUCGUCUUUAAGUUUGUUUGUAGUUUGUCGUCAGUUCGUCAAGUGGUUGAAAGUUAUCCAUUACCAUCCGUCAACCAACUAAAG